rnacentral:rRNA from 1 species
GACGAACGCUGGCGGCGUGCUUAACACAUGCAAGUCGAACGGAAAGGCCCUGCUUUUGUGGGGUGCUCGAGUGGCGAACGGGUGAGUAACACGUGAGUAACCUGCCCUUGACUGUGGGAUAACUUCAGGAAACUGGGGCUAAUACCGGAUAGGAGCUCCUGCUGCAUGGUGGGGGUUGGAAAGUUUCGGCGGUUGGGGAUGGACUCGCGGCUUAUCAGCUUGUUGGUGGGGUAGUGGCUUACCAAGGCUUUGACGGGUAGCCGGCCUGGGAGGGUGACAGGCCACAUUGGGACUGAGAUACGGCACAGACUCCUACCGGAGGCAGCAGUGGGGAAUAUUGCACAAUGGGCGGAAGCCUGAUGCAGCAACGCCGCGUGCGGGAUGACGGCAUUCGGGUUGUAAACCGCUUUCGCCUGUGACGAAGCGUGAGUGACGGUAAUGGGUAAAGAAGCACCGGCUAACUACGUG